UGGGGAAUUGUUCGCAAUGGGCGCAAGCCUGACGACGCAACGCCGCGUGGAGGACGAAGAUCUUCGGGUCGUAAACUCCUGUCGAGCGGGCAGAACACCUGCCGGGCAAACACUCCGGCAGGCUGACGGUACCGCUAAAGGAAGCCCCGGCUAACUCCGUGCCAGCAGCCGCGGUAAUACGGGGGGGGCAAGCGUUGUUCGGAAUUACUGGGCGUAAAGGGCUCGUAGGCGGCCAACUAAGUCGGAUGUGAAAUCCCCAGGCUCAACCUGGGAACUGCAUCCGAUACUGGAUGGCUUGAAUCCGGGAGAGGGAUGCAGAAUUCCAGGUGUAGCGGUGAAAUGCGUAGAUAUCUGGAGGAAUACCGGUGGCGAAGGCGGCAUCCUGGACCGGCAUUGACGCUGAUGAGCGAAAGCCAGGGGAGCAA
rnacentral:rRNA from 1 species